AAUCAUAUUCAUAUAAUCCAUAUAUAUUUGGGGCGUGCUUUAAUUCAUAUGGGACAGAUUUGGUGCAACACUUGCAAUCAUAGGCUGAGGGAGCCUAAUCAAACCUAUGGGCUAAAACUACAUAAAGGAAAGCCUAAAGUGAAGAUCAAGUAAGGCUUUUGUGAAGAUUCAACUUUGUUAGGAUGGGCUUGCUAGUUUUAUUAUUUAAACACUUGUUUUAUUUUAGUUUUGUUUGGGCUUGUAUUCUGGCCAUAUUUUAUCUUUUAAGUUUUAGAGUGUUGGGCCAUGUUGUGGGCUUAUAUUUUAAUACCUAUGUGUUAUUUUAGUGUGUGAUUAGGCUUGGGUCUUAUGUGUUUAAGUCAGGCCCAAGAAGAGUGUCUUAGGGUUUUAUUUGUUUUUCUCCUUACUAUAUAAGGAUAAGAAACAAUUGUAAGAGGCAGCUUUUAAUCAAACUUUUCAGAAUUUCUUUCAUGCCUUUGGCGUGUAUUGCUUUGAGUGAGAGUGAGGAUUUGCUUUCAUCAAUUGCACCAGGAAUCUUGGCUAACUUAUCAACUAUUCGUUGUGGCGUUUGUCGGAUUCUCAUCUAAAUCCUUCGAUCAUUGGUGUUUCAGCUUCUCUAAGUUUGGGGUGCCAUAGGAGGUGGG
rnacentral:lncRNA from 1 species